UGGGGAAUCUUGCGCAAUGCGCGAAAGCGUGACGCAGCAACGCCGCGUGGGGGAAGAAGGCCUUCGGGUUGUAAACCCCUUUCAGGGGGGACGAAGGCACGAUCGGUGAAUAGCCGGUCGUGCUGACGGUACCCCCAGAAGAAGCUCCGGCUAACUACGUGCCAGCAGCCGCGGUAAUACGUAGGGGGCUAGCGUUGUCCGGAAUCAUUGGGCGUAAAGCGCGCGUAGGCGGCCCGGUAAGUCCGCUGUGAAGGUCCAGGGCUCAACCCUGGAAAGCCGGUGGAUACUGCCGGGCUAGAGUCCGGAAGAGGCGAGUGGAAUUCCUGGUGUAGCGGUGGAAUGCGCAGAUAUCAGGAGGAACACCAAUAGCGAAGGCAGCUCGCUGGGACGGUACUGACGCUGAGGUGCGAAAGCGUGGGGAGCGAACAGGAUUAGAUACCCUGGUAGUCCACGCCGUAAACGAUGGGCACUAGGUGUGGGGGGUGUCGACUCCCCCCGUGCCGACGCUAACGCAUUAAGUGCCCCGCCUGGGGAGUACGGCCGCAAGGCUAC
rnacentral:rRNA from 1 species